AGCAGCCGCCACGGUAAUACAGAGGGUGCGAGCGUUAAUCGGAUUUACUGGGCGUAAAGCGUGCGUAGGCGGCUUUUUAAGUCGGAUGUGAAAUCCCUGAGCUUAACUUAGGAAUUGCAUUCGAUACUGGGAAGCUAGAGUAUGGGAGAGGAUGGUAGAAUUCCAGGUGUAGCGGUGAAAUGCGUAGAGAUCUGGAGGAAUACCGAUGGCGAAGGCAGCCAUCUGGCCUAAUACUGACGCUGAGGUACGAGAGCAUGGGGAGCAAACAGGAUUAGAUACCCCGGUAGUCCCUGUCUCUUAUAC
rnacentral:rRNA from 1 species